UGGGGGUGAGGGCGUCGGCAUAGCUCCUGUCUUUUGGGCUUCAAGAUCAGCACAUCACACAUCACACAUCAUACAUCAUACGUCACCACAUUUAAUUCACAAACAUAGUCCCCAUAACGACAAGUUCACAUACAUAGUCUCCACAACGAUACAUAGUCUCCACAACGAUACACAGUCUCCAUAAUGACAAGUUCACACCCAUUCGGUUCACAUACAUAAUCUCGACAACGAUAAG
rnacentral:lncRNA from 1 species